CUUCAUUAACGUUGCUUUUUCUCCUAAAGGUCUGGUAAAACCUCUGCUAAACAAAUUCCACUUGUCAAUGCUUUGUUGGUGUUUCUGGGUGUUGUUAUUACAAUUGUGACAUCAGUCACUUCAGUCUGCCUCUUAAGACUGAAUAGGCACACAGAUAUGCAGGCACCUUUUGUCUCAGAAUGAUGGUUGUUACAGUGAAAAGUAUUUUACCAUUUGACUUAGGCCACAUACUACAGGAACGAGGCUUAUGCUUGGUGAAGAGAAAAGCUGGUUUCUAGUGAUUUUCAUAAGGAUGUUUCCAUCCAACUUCAAUUCUCUUUAUCCCACACAAAUUCAUAGAGAUUCAGACCGUGCUGGAGGCAAUUUGAAAUUCAGUCAAGGCUGAGAUCUGAUGGACACCCUCAUCUCCUCACACCUGUGAGCCACAGCUGAGCCACGUGGAGCAGAGCUGGGGGUUGGGAGAGCUAAUAGGGCUCCCUUUUUCUCUCCUCUUUCAUUUAAAAAUAUCUUCAUUGGGCUGUUUUUCUUUCUGUCAGUUGUUGUCAGCAUCUCCUCUGGAAGACAUAACGUACAGUCUCUAUGCCCUGUGGAAUUCUGGAGAGUGCAUGCUUUCAUCGGAGUCUUCACAAAGCACUCACAGCAGGGAUUUUUGUCAUCUCUGGAGGCAUGCUUUCACAUGUUGGCCACAGUGAGUGGAGGAACUGCACAAGAGACCCACAAACACAGGUGGACAGCUCUGUGAGUUCAUGAGGCAGUCACUUCACAAGAACAUGUAAGCCGUCCCGACUGCCUUCCAACAUCCAUACAGCACAUGUCUGUGUGCAGCGCAGCUUUAAAUUGGCGUGGGAUUUAAAGGUGCAAGUCUGUGGAAGUUUUACUUUUGAGGUUAUUACUGUGGCUAUGUUGCAGCACUCUGAUUGCACCUAUCUGUCUGCGCUGUUAUGCUGACAGCGCUAACAAAGCACGCCCGGCUACCAGGCUGGAACACCCCUUGUAAACACGGCCUUGCCACACGCUGAGCUGGGAGGUGCAGGCCAGUGUCCUGAAUCACACCUACACAAGCUUUCUCCAACAGCGGGUAUCGAUCUAGUUUUACUUGAAAAGAAAGUUCAGGAAACAAACAAUACCUUCAGAAACAUAUGGCUGAGGUGAGAAUAAUA
rnacentral:lncRNA from 1 species